rnacentral:rRNA from 1 species
UUAAGCGACUAAGCGUACACGGUGGAUGCCCUGGCAGUCAGAGGCGAUGAAGGACGUGCUAAUCUGCGAAAAGCGUCGGUAAGGUGAUAUGAACCGUUAUAACCGGCGAUGUCCGAAUGGGGAAACCCAGUGUGAUUCGUCACACUAUCGUUAACUGAAUACAUAGGUUAACGAGGCGAACCGGGGGAACUGAAACAUCUAAGUACCCCGAGGAAAAGAAAUCAACCGAGAUUCCCCCAGUAGCGGCGAGCGAACGGGGAGCAGCCCAGAGUCUGAAUCAGCUUGUGUGUUAGUGGAACGGUCUGGAAAGUCCGACGGUACAGGGUGAUAGUCCCGUACACCAAAAUGCACAGGUUGUGAACUCGAAGAGUAGGGCGGGACACGUGGUAUCCUGUCUGAAUAUGGGGGGACCAUCCUCCAAGGCUAAAUACUCCUGACUGACCGAUAGUGAACCAGUACCGUGAGGGAAAGGCGAAAAGAACCCCGGCGAGGGGAGUGAAAAAGAACCUGAAACCGUGUACGUACAAGCAGUGGGAGCACCUUUAUGGUGUGACUGCGUACCUUUUGUAUAAUGGGUCAGCGACUUAUAUUCUGUAGCAAGGUUAACCGUAUAGGGGAGCCGCAGGGAAACCGAGUCUUAACUGGGCGUUAAGUUGCAGGGUAUAGACCCGAAACCCGGUGAUCUAGCCAUGGGCAGGUUGAAGGUUGGGUAACACUAACUGGAGGACCGAACCGACUAAUGUUGAAAAAUUAGCGGAUGACCUGUGGCUGGGGGUGAAAGGCCAAUCAAACCGGGAGAUAGCUGGUUCUCCCCGAAAGCUAUUUAGGUAGCGCCUCGUGAACUCAUCUCCGGGGGUAGAGCACUGUUUCGGCUAGGGGGCCAUCCCGGCUUACCAACCCGAUGCAAACUGCGAAUACCGGAGAAUGUUAUCACGGGAGACACACGGCGGGUGCUAACGUCCGUCGUGAAGAGGGAAACAACCCAGACCGCCAGCUAAGGUCCCAAAGUCAUGGUUAAGUGGGAAACGAUGUGGGAAGGCACAGACAGCCAGGAUGUUGGCUUAGAAGCAGCCAUCAUUUAAAGAAAGCGUAAUAGCUCACUGGUCGAGUCGGCCUGCGCGGAAGAUGUAACGGGGCUAAACCAUGCACCGAAGCUGCGGCAGCGACACGAUGUGUUGUUGGGUAGGGGAGCGUUCUGUAAGCCGUUGAAGGUGGCCUGUGAGGGCUGCUGGAGGUAUCAGAAGUGCGAAUGCUGACAUAAGUAACGAUAAAGCGGGUGAAAAGCCCGCUCGCCGGAAGACCAAGGGUUCCUGUCCAACGUUAAUCGGGGCAGGGUGAGUCGACCCCUAAGGCGAGGCCGAAAGGCGUAGUCGAUGGGAAACAGGUUAAUAUUCCUGUACUUGGUGUUACUGCGAAGGGGGGACGGAGAAGGCUAUGUUAGCCGGGCGACGGUUGUCCCGGUUUAAGCAUGUAGGCUGGUUAUCCAGGCAAAUCCGGAUAAUCAAGGCUGAGGUGUGAUGACGAGGCACUACGGUGCUGAAGUAACAAAUGCCCUGCUUCCAGGAAAAGCCUCUAAGCAUCAGGUAACAUCAAAUCGUACCCCAAACCGACACAGGUGGUCAGGUAGAGAAUACCAAGGCGCUUGAGAGAACUCGGGUGAAGGAACUAGGCAAAAUGGUGCCGUAACUUCGGGAGAAGGCACGCUGGUGUGUAGGUGAAGUCCCUGCGGAUGGAGCUGAGACCAGUCGAAGAUACCAGCUGGCUGCAACUGUUUAUUAAAAACACAGCACUGUGCAAACACGAAAGUGGACGUAUACGGUGUGACGCCUGCCCGGUGCCGGAAGGUUAAUUGAUGGGGUUAUCCGUAAGGAGAAGCUCUUGAUCGAAGCCCCGGUAAACGGCGGCCGUAACUAUAACGGUCCUAAGGUAGCGAAAUUCCUUGUCGGGUAAGUUCCGACCUGCACGAAUGGCGUAAUGAUGGCCAGGCUGUCUCCACCCGAGACUCAGUGAAAUUGAACUCGCUGUGAAGAUGCAGUGUACCCGCGGCAAGACGGAAAGACCCCGUGAACCUUUACUAUAGCUUGACACUGAACAUUGAGCCUUGAUGUGUAGGAUAGGUGGGAGGCUUUGAAGCGUGGACGCCAGUCUGCGUGGAGCCAACCUUGAAAUACCACCCUUUAAUGUUUGAUGUUCUAACGUUGGCCCCUUACCGGGGUUGCGGACAGUGUCUGGUGGGUAGUUUGACUGGGGCGGUCUCCUCCCAAAGCGUAACGGAGGAGCACGAAGGUUAGCUAAUCCUGGUCGGACAUCAGGAGGUUAGUGCAAUGGCAUAAGCUAGCUUGACUGCGAGCGUGACGGCGCGAGCAGGUGCGAAAGCAGGUCAUAGUGAUCCGGUGGUUCUGAAUGGAAGGGCCAUCGCUCAACGGAUAAAAGGUACUCCGGGGAUAACAGGCUGAUACCGCCCAAGAGUUCAUAUCGACGGCGGUGUUUGGCACCUCGAUGUCGGCUCAUCACAUCCUGGGGCUGAAGUAGGUCCCAAGGGUAUGGCUGUUCGCCAUUUAAAGUGGUACGCGAGCUGGGUUUAGAACGUCGUGAGACAGUUCGGUCCCUAUCUGCCGUGGGCGCUGGAGAAUUGAGGGGGGCUGCUCCUAGUACGAGAGGACCGGAGUGGACGCAUCACUGGUGUUCGGGUUGUCAUGCCAAUGGCACUGCCCGGUAGCUAAAUGCGGAAGAGAUAAGUGCUGAAAGCAUCUAAGCACGAAACUUGCCCCGAGAUGAGUUCUCCCUGAGACUUUAAGUCUCCUGAAGGAACGUUGAAGACGACGACGUUGAUAGGCCGGGUGUGUAAGCGCAGCGAUGCGUUGAGCUAACCGGUACUAAUGAACCGUGAGGCUUAACCUU